GGAAUAUUGGGCAGUGGGCGAAAGCCUGACCCAGCGACGCCGCGUGAGGGAUGAAGGUCUUCGGAUUGUAAACCUCUUUCAGUAGGGAAGAAGCGAAAGUGACGGUACCUAAAGAAGAAGCACCGGCUAACUAUGUGCCAGCAGCCGCGGUAAUACAUAGGGUGCAAGCGUUGUCCGGAAUUAUUGGGCGUAAAGAGCUCGUAGGUCGUUUGUCGCGUCGAUUGUGAAAAUCUGAGGCUCAACCUCAGACCUGCAGUCGAUACGGGCAAACUAGAGUGUGGUAGGGGAGACUGGAAUUCCUGGUGUAGCGGUGGAAUGCGCAGAUAUCAGGAGGAACACCAAUGGCGAAGGCAGGUCUCUGGGCCAUAACUGACACUGAGGAGCGAAAGUGCGGGGAGCGAACAGGAUUAGAUACCCUGGUAGUCCGCACCGUAAACGGUGGGCACUAGUUGUGGGAACCUUCCACGGUUUCCGCGACGCAGCAAACGCAUUAAGUGCCCCGCCUGGGGAGUACGAUCGCAAGAUUAAAACUCAAAUGAAUUGACGG
rnacentral:rRNA from 1 species